UCAUUAUUCUGGAAUAGUUGCAUGGUUUCAGAAUAGUUUCUGGACUAAACUUAUUAUUAAACAGUGAAAUUGUGUUCUAGCCUAGCCAGUGCACGAGUUCCUGCACCCGGAGGUAUCUGGCCUUGAGGGUACAGAGGAGACGUGCGGUCGGGCAGUCGCAUUUAGCAGAAGGACUAUCGGUUCUCCGGCAUCGCUGGGGAUCGCGCAGUCUUAGUGAGCAGAGGGAUCAUCGGUUCUCCGGCAUCGCUGGGGAUCGCGCAUAACCUGCAUCAUACUUUACCGGCAGUGUCUGGUUGAGUGGAGGUUAUAGCAUGUCUGACUCCGGCUCGGCAACAGAUAGUCCCAAACGAGGGUGGAGGGAGGUUUUGGAGAAGAAGGCCCGGGUGACACAGGAGGUGGAGGUAGCCAACUCCGAAGGCAAACUCCUGUAUGGCACGGCAAGGGAGC